rnacentral:rRNA from 1 species
GACGAACGCUGGCGGCGUGCCUAAUACAUGCAAGUAGAACGCACAGUUUAUACCGUAGCUUGCUACACCAUAGACUGUGAGUUGCGAACGGGUGAGUAACGCGUAGGUAACCUGCCUGGUAGCGGGGGAUAACUAUUGGAAACGAUAGCUAAUACCGCAUAAUAUUGAUUAUUGCAUGAUAAUUGAUUGAAAGAUGCUAUUGCAUCACUACCAGAUGGACCUGCGUUGUAUUAGCUAGUAGGUGAGGUAACGGCUCACCUAGGCGACGAUACAUAGCCGACCUGAGAGGGUGAGCGGCCACCCUGGGACUGAGACACGGCCCAGACUCCUACGGGAGGCAGCAGUAGGGAAUCUUCGGCAAUGGACGAAAGUCUGACCGAGCAACGCCGCGUGAGUGAAGAAGGUUUUCGGAUCGUAAAGCUCUGUUGUAAGAGAAGAACGGGUGUGAGAGUGGAAAGUUCACACUGUGACGGUAUCUUACCAGAAAGGGACGGCUAACUACGUG